GAUGAACGCUGGCGGCGUGCCUAAUACAUGCAAGUCGAGCGAACAGACGAGGAUCUUGCUCCUCUGACGUUAUCGGCGGACGGGUGAGUAACACGUGGAUAACCUACCUAUAAGACUGGUAUAACUUCGGGAAACCGUAUCUAAUACCGGAUAAUAUAUUUAACCGCAUUUUUCAAUAGUUAAUGACGUUUUUGCUGUUUCUUAUAUAUGUAUCCUCGCCGCAUUAGCUAGUUUGUAAGGUAACGGCUUACCAAGGCGACGAUGCGUAUCCGACCUGAGAGGGUGAGCGGCCACACUGGAACUGAGACACGGUCCAGACUACUACGGGAGGCAGCAGUAGGGAAUCUUCCGCAAUGGGCGAAAGCUUGACGGAGCAACGCCGCGUGAGUGAUGAAGGUAUUCGGAUCGUAAAACUCUGUUAUUAGGGAAGAACAAAUGUGUAAGUAAAUAUGCACGUAUUGACGGUACCUAAUCAGAAAGCCACGGCUAACUACGUG
rnacentral:rRNA from 1 species